CUCGGACGGGUGAGUAACGCGUGAGCAUCUAGCUCUAGGUUUGGGACAACCACUGGAAACGGUGGCUAAUMCCGGAUAUGCCGAAAGGUGAAAGGUUAACUGCCYGGAGAUGAGCUCGCGUCUGAUUAGCUAGUUGGUAGGGUAAAAGCUUACCAAGGCGACGAUCAGUAGCUGGKCUGAGAGGACGAUCAGCCWCACUGGGACUGAGACACGGCCCACACUCCUACGGGAGGCGGCGGUGGGGAAUUUUCCGCAAUGGGCGAAAGCCUGACGGAGCAAUACCGCGUGAGGGAGGAAGGCUCUUGGGUUGUAAACCYCUUUUCUCAAGGAAGAAUAAUGRCGGGACUUGAGGAAUAAGCAUCGGSUAACUCCGGGCCMGCMGCCGCGGUAAUACCGAGGAUGGAAGCGKUAUCCGGAAUGAUUGGGCGUAAAGCGKUCGGAGGGGGCAUUGAAAGKCUGCUGKCAAAWAGUCUGGCUCAACCCGAUACAGGCNGGGGAAACUUCCAAGCUNGAGUGCGGGAGGGGCAGAGGGAAUUCCUGGUGUAGCGGUGAAAUGCGUANAGUUCAGGAAGAACACCGGUGGCGAAAGCGCUCUGCUAGGNCGCAACUGACACUGAGGGACGAAAGC
rnacentral:rRNA from 1 species